GACGAACCGAGCGAACGUUGUUCGGAGUCACUGGGCUUAAAGGGCGCGUAGGCGGGUUCGCAAGUCUGUGGUGAAAUCCUCCGGCUCAACCGGAGAACUGCCUCGGAAACUGCGAGUCUCGAGGGUGGCAGGGGUAUGCGGAACUAUCGGUGGAGCGGUGAAAUGCGUUGAUAUCGAUAGGAACUCCGGUGGCGAAGGCGGCAUACUGGUCCACUUCUGACGCUGAGGCGCGAAAGCCAGGGGAGCAAACGGG
rnacentral:rRNA from 1 species